UCUGCGUUUGGAAAGAUUUUUCGGUUGGGGAGGGGCUCGCGGCCUAUCAGCUUGUUGGUGAGGUAAUGGCUCACCAAGGCGUCGACGGGUAGCCGGCCUGAGAGGGUGACCGGCCACACUGGGACUGAGACACGGCCCAGACUCCUACGGGAGGCAGCAGUGGGGAAUAUUGCACAAUGGGCGGAAGCCUGAUGCAGCAACGCCGCGUGAGGGAUGACGGCCUUCGGGUUGUAAACCUCUUUUAGCAGGGAAGAAGCGAAAGUGACGGUACCUGCAGAAAAAGCGCCGGCUAACUACGUGCCAGCAGCCGCGGUAAUACGUAGGGCGCAAGCGUUAUCCGGAAUUAUUGGGCGUAAAGAGCUCGUAGGCGGUUUGUCGCGUCUGCUGUGAAAUCCCGAGGCUCAACCUCGGGCCUGCAGUGGGUACGGGCAGACUAGAGUGCGGUAGGGGAGAUUGGAAUUCCUGGUGUAGCGGUGGAAUGCGCAGAUAUCAGGAGGAACACCGAUGGCGAAGGCAGAUCUCUGGGCCGUAACUGACGCUGAGGAGCGAAAGGGUGGGGAGCAAACAGGCUUAGAUACCCUGGUAGUCCACCCCGUAAACGUUGGGAACUAGUUGUGGGGUCCAUUCCACGGAUUCCGUGACGCAGCUAACGCAUUAAGUUCCCCGCCUGGGGAGUACGGCCGCAAGGCUAAAACUCAAAGGAAUUGACGGGGACCCGCACAAGCGGCGGAGCAUGCGGAUUAAUUCGAUGCAACGCGAAGAACCUUACCAAGGCUUGACAUAUACGAGAACGGGCCAGAAAUGGUCAACUCUUUGGACACUCGUAAACAGGUGGUGCAUGGUUGUCGUCAGCUCGUGUCGUGAGAUGUUGGGUUAAGUCCCGCAACGAGCGCAACCCUCGUUCUAUGUUGCCAGCACGUAAUGGUGGGAACUCAUGGGAUACUGCCGGGGUCAACUCGGAGGAAGGUGGGGAUGACGUCAAAUCAUCAUGCCCCUUAUGUCUUGGGCUUCACGCAUGCUACAAUGGCCGGUACAAAGGGCUGCAAUACCGUGAGGUGGAGCGAAUCCCAAAAAGCCGGUCCCAGUUCGGAUUGAGGUCUGCAACUCGACCUCAUGAAGUCGGAGUCGCUAGUAAUCGCAGAUCAGCAACGCUGCGGUGAAUACGUUCCCGGGUCUUGUACACACCGCCCGUCAAGUCAUGAAAGUCGGUAACACCUGAAGCCGGUGGCCUAACCCUUGUGGAGGGAGCCGUCGAAGGUG
rnacentral:rRNA from 1 species